UGAUUAACUGCACAUGAAAUAUUCAAAUGAGAAUAGAUGUAGAAGUAGAAAAGCAAGAUGAAGGAUGGAAGAAUAUUGCUGAAAAAGCCUUUUUAUUUUGUUGCACAUUCCAUUUCUAUUGUUGUGUUCCGUAGGAGUGGCCUGUACCGUUCUCUAGUUCCUUUCACUACAGAAUGAAUUCAGACACAUGGAGGGAGAGUAAAGUUUGUUUUAUUAAAUCAUGCACAUCACAAGUGUUAGUGCAAAUAGUUUAAUCUGUACUCCAGAAAUUAUAUUGUACUUUCCAUAUCUUUACAAAAUAGAUUUUAAACAAUUAUUUACUUAAAAAAAUGUAAUUCUGAACUUUAGCAUCUCAGGACAAUAUUUGCAAACAAAUUAUGUACAGGAAGGUACUCGGACGCGCCUCUCUGUACAGGAAGGUACUCGGACGCGCCUCUCUGUACAGGAAGGUACUCGGACGCGCCUCUCUGUACAGGAAGGUACUCGGACGCGCCUCUCUGUGCAGGAAGGUACUCGGACGCGCCUCUCUGUGCAGGAAGGUACUCGGACGCGCCGCUGGCAAAUUAGCUGUGCUGCAGUUGGGAGGCUGUUUGUACUUUAUUCUUGUCAAAGGGAACUGACUACCACAGAACACUGUUGCUAUUCCAGCUUGUGUACAUUUUUUCACAAAUUAAUCAACCAACAAACACCCAACAAUAGUAAUUUAUAAAAGUAUACAUUCGCCCCCCCAUCCUUUUAGUUUAAAACACUAAAGUUUCUAUUUACUUAUUAAACAGUAAAACUCUAAAUCUAUUCCCGUUAAGAACAUUUUACCAUGUUCAACUUGCAAGGUGAGGGAGUUGUGGAUUUAAAUCGCUGAUAAUUUGCAUGCCUGUAUUAAAAAAAAAAUAAAAAAAUAACAAUAAUAAUAAUAAUAAUAAUGGGUACCGGCAUUGCAUUUGAUCAGAUUACAGGACAGCUGUUCAACUGAUCAGCUGCUCUAAAUGCAGUCUUUUUACAUGCAUUACAUCUGCAAAGCUACACUGUGGUGUUACUGGAACCAAAUCAGAUUCUGUUGCUCAGCCUCAUUAAAAGUCCUUAGUAACUGAUUAAAACUAAACCCCUUCAAGACCUAGGCGUGCCAAGAGCAUGCCCCAAGGUUAAUCCCAUUUCUAAUCCUAUCAUCAAAUUAUGUGUAAUAUU